rnacentral:rRNA from 1 species
ACCCGCUGACUUAGCAU